UACAGAGGGGGCAAGCGUUGUUCGGAAUUACUGGGCGUAAAGGGCGCGUAGGCGGCCCGCUAAGUCGAACGUGAAAUCCCCGGGCUCAACCCGGGAACUGCGUCCGAUACUGGCAGGCUUGAAUCCGGGAGAGGGAUGCGGAAUUCCAGGUGUAGCGGUGAAAUGCGUAGAUAUCUGGAGGAACACCGGUGGCGAAGGCGGCAUCCUGGACCGGCAUUGACGCUGAGGGCGCGAAAAGCCAGGG
rnacentral:rRNA from 1 species